rnacentral:rRNA from 1 species
GGUGCGGCGGGGAGGAGAAGGGCGAGCAGAGGAGGAGAGGAGAAGGGAGCUGCAGCAGGGACGAAGGGAGAGACUGGGCCCGGUCUCGGAGCGGCCGGCGAGGGGGGGUCGGCCACAGGGAGAGGUCUACGUAGGAGGUGCUCUAGGCCCAUGCCUCUCUCAGUACCACCAUCCCCGUCUACGCACUCCUCCUCUUCCGGCACCAGUACCACCGCGCUGCCUCCAGCACGGAGCGGGGGCGGCGAAGAGAGCGCGGGGGGAAAAGGGACGGGGGAGGGGCCGCAGGAACGGAGACGGUACCGGAGGUGGGAGGGAGAGGUAGCUGGAAGGACUCGAGAGGUAGAAGUCCCAGCGGUGGUAGGCUACGGCGUGCGGUACUAAGGUCUAGCCGACGUCCAACUCCUCGCCAACGACGUCACUCCCGUCGUCCCAGGGGUGGGGCCACCGACGCACGUCUCCCCCUCACCAGUUCCUGCCAACGGUCAAGUACCUCCUCUCUACGUUGUGUCGCCACUCGAGAAAGAAGGAGGAAAGGAGUAGAAGGGUACCACUUGACUCGAGUAUGAAGGAAAAAAAAAGAAGAUUAACACGUGUAUCACGAACCCAACGUCAACUAAGGAUGUGAGUCAAAGUCACCACCGUACCACAGGUAGAGGUCCGGCCAACGUUGGAAGACGGGGGUAGUAAGGGACAUAAAAAAAGUAUUAAAUGUGUGAUUCAACAUCUAACCAGCCUAGAUAACCGUAAUCCGUCGUGUUCUUAUUGUUAUAAACAGACGAAAAAGUACACGUCCAAGUCGUCGCCGUUACGAGUUCUAUUCUCAAUCCGGCCAGACUUAUUUGUCUCUACUCGUCGUCGUCCCAACCCACGGGGUAAACAUGCGUAACGUAACCAAUUAAAACAACACGAGUACAAAGGCAAAGUACGGAGUUCGAGUUCUGCGCGCUCCACUACCAAACCAACCCUACCACGACGACGAGGCGUUCAUGCUCGAAGACGUGACACAGAACGAGAGAGUUGAACGGAGGGGAACUUACUUACCUGCGUCUUAUUACACAACUGUUCGAUGUACUCCAACCCGAAACGCUAACGUGGGACAAACACACGACCGUCCUUCCUUCUUGAUUCUUUUUCACACAACAAAGCGACCUAAGAAGAAGGAAACUAAAGUGGUUUGAAACACCGUCACCAACCGAAGAGCUGAGGCUGUGAGACAUACCUGAUCGGGCCAGAAACGGGUCUUCAAGAUCUUCCAUGUUACGACUUUUAAGUCAUCUUGUACCACGAGGAUAUUUAUGACUAUUAGGCCUUGGACCGUUGGUAACCGAAAACUUCAAACCGUCAAACAAUUUCUCGUUUAACUAGGUUCAUUUCUCGUUUUGACUUCAUGGUUACAUGGAGAAUAUUUAAACCAGUGAUAACACGAGAGACUGUCCUUACGUUCAAAACACUAUUUCCGGUCAACAAGACAUAUAAAACCAAAGUACGUCAUACUUCAUACUUGGCGUACGUAAGUUGAUACUAAACAAUUAUAACUUAACGUACAAGGAGAGAAGACGCAUCACAUAUACAACAAGCUCCGGUAUAGUUUCUACUUUUACUAAGUCUGCCGUUACACAAGUGACAAAGUAGAUUACAUAUACACCUCAAAUCAGACAAAGAACUGGGGGAUCGACACUUUCACAACACAGAAAUUUUAUAAGUAACGCAUAAAUUUUUUUGAAUUAUUGUAUAUAGUAUAUAAACAGUAAAUUCUUUUGCAAAUAAAAAGUCUUUUUAACAGUGACUAAGGUUUCAGUGAUGGUUAAAGAAGUCGCAAAGGGAGGAUCCUAAGUCGGUAUUCGUCUGUUUCUUUGGUCGUCAAAAGAGUACUGAUUGACAUUCCUCUGACUCGCGACAUGGACCCAAUAGUUUGAUCGAUUGUUUGAUACGAGACAUGGACCUUGUCUGAUAUGACAUGUGUCAUGGUUCGAUAAUUGUUUGAUAUGACAAGUGAAUAAAACCAUAUAUAUUUUUUCGAGUCACGAUUAAAAAAUACUUGAACACGAUUGUCUGAUAUGUGUCAUGGUCCCAAACAAGUAAACAAAGGUGAACAGUUCCCAAUCCAUGACCGACGGAAGGUAAAAAAACGACCAACUGGAGUGCGAAGCAUAUAUCUGACACAUUUAAAUAGAAAACUUAUCAAAUCGAAAUUAUAUCAGCUAUAAGAGUAGUUUAACUAGCUACAGUCUAACCUCGAUUAAAGAAAUAUCUAGUUGGUAACAACCACUUCUUAAAACAAAGACAUCGAGCUCGUACAACCACGAGUCUAAAAAAAAAAGUACUACUAAAAAUCUAGGCUAGUGAAUUAAACAAGUGUAUGAUGAACUACAACGUCCCAGGUGUCGGUUUCGUGGUGAGCUCAAAGUAUACGUCAUGUUUCUGCUCCGAUCUUUAACUAGAAUUCAGACUUCCUUGCAGUGAAAACUUUCUUCUUGUUCCUAAUCGUUCUCCGACGAUUCCUCCGACGUUGUGGAGCACGGGUUGUACCUGUUCGUUUGUUUAUGAAGUCUGUACGACGCAUAACGACAUCUGAUGUAGUUUCACCCACGACGUCCUGGUUUAACUCCAACAACUAGACCUCUACUGACCGAGUUGCCUCUGACAUGGUGAAGUGGCGGAACUGCUUAGCUUCCUAAUGAAUCAUUAAAAAGACCACUGUGGUUAGUCCGGUCUAACUUCGCCUACGAUAGUUCUAGUACGGUUUCCGUCUCGUACGGUUUCCGCUACGAGUAAGGGCAAGAAUCACUCUACCCAAAUAAGCUACGUUUCAUACUCGUAACGUCUGAGACCGCUCGACAACUUCCAGCUACUCCUCCUGCGGCGGUGGUGGCAGUAGUCCGACCAGGUGUAGGUGCGCGACGAGCCGCAGCGGUUCAGUGGCCGUGUUGAGGAGUGCGGGUCCAGCAAAUUGUAAAAGAAAGCGAAAACCACACAGCGUAAAUCUCAGAAAGAAAGGGUAAAAUGGCACAAACGUACCAUUCUACAAACCAACCUAAACUUCCAAGUAUCGGAACCGAGGUUUCGAAGUUCGAGAAUAUCUUUAAUCUUGACUCCCGGAAAAUUUUACUCAGGACGUAUUAUCACAACAAGUCACCCUACGUCUUAAAAACUAUCAGACUAGCCGAUAGGAACCACGACUAAAUACAUGACUAAAGUAGUAGUAUACUGAUGUUAUUUCUUCGAUACACAUAUGUAUAAUGCUUGACGACUAUGAAACGUAGUCACUAAAGUUAAGACAACCGG